UGCAACAGGUUCGCCGUAUGGUUUGAAGCGUCUCUUUGGAGCAAGACAGACUUUAACCAGCAAGCAGGAUGAGUAGUCGUUUGGAAGCUUUGAGAAUGGCGUUCGAUCGUUAUAGAUGUACCUUCAAGAAAAAAAUCCACGAAGCAUAAGAUAUACGCCUUGUUCGUGGCAACUCGCAUUGAAAUCCUGGACGCUGCCAUGGUUUGAGCUGGAGCUAAUCGAGAACCAG